rnacentral:rRNA from 1 species
AGUCGAGCGGAUGAGAGAGCUUGCUCUCUGAUUUAGCGGCGGACGGGUGAGUAAUGCCUAGGAAUCUGCCUGGUAGUGGGGGAUAACGUUCCGAAAGGAACGCUAAUACCGCGUACGUCCUACGGGAGAAAGCAGGGGACCUUCGGGCCUUGCGCUAUCAGAUGAGCCUAGGUCGGAUUAGCUAGUUGGUGAGGUAAUGGCUCACCAAGGCGACGAUCCGUAACUGGUCUGAGAGGAUGAUCAGUCACACUGGAACUGAGACACGGUCCAGACUCCUACGGGAGGCAGCAGUGGGGAAUAUUGGACAAUGGGCGAAAGCCUGAUCCAGCCAUGCCGCGUGUGUGAAGAAGGUCUUCGGAUUGUAAAGCACUUUAAGUUGGGAGGAAGGGCAGUAAGUUAAUACCUUGCUGUUUUGACGUUACCGACAGAAUAAGCACCGGCUAACUUCGUGCCAGCAGCCGCGGUAAUACGAAGGGUGCAAGCGUUAAUCGGAAUUACUGGGCGUAAAGCGCGCGUAGGUGGUUCGUUAAGUUGGAUGUGAAAGCCCCGGGCUCAACCUGGGAACUGCAUCCAAAACUGGCGAGCUAGAGUACGGUAGAGGGUGGUGGAAUUUCCUGUGUAGCGGUGAAAUGCGUAGAUAUAGGAAGGAACACCAGUGGCGAAGGCGACCACCUGGACUGAUACUGACACUGAGGUGCGAAAGCGUGGGGAGCAAACAGGAUUAGAUACCCUGGUAGUCCACGCCGUAAACGAUGUCAACUAGCCGUUGGAAUCCUUGAGAUUUUAGUGGCGCAGCUAACGCAUUAAGUUGACCGCCUGGGGAGUACGGCCGCAAGGUUAAACUCAAAUGAAUUGACGGGGGCCCGCACAAGCGGGGGAGCAUGUGGUUUAAUUCGAAGC